rnacentral:rRNA from 1 species
ACGCUGGCGGCAUGCCUAACACAUGCAAGUCGAACGCGUGUAGCAAUACACGAGUGGUCGGACGGGUGAGUAACGCGUGGGAACCUGCCCAAUGGUAGGGAAUAACUGCGGGAAACUGCAGCUAAUACCCUAUGCUCCCUACGGGGGAAAGAUUUAUCGCCAUUGGAGGGGCCCGCGUCGGAUUAGCUAGUUGGCGGGGUAACGGCCCACCAAGGCUACGAUCCGUAGCUGGUCUGAGAGGAUGAUCAGCCACACUGGGACUGAGAUACGGCCCAGACUCCUACGGGAGGCAGCAGUGGGGAAUAUUGGACAAUGGGGGAAACCCUGAUCCAGCAAUGCCGCGUGAGUGAAGAAGGCCUUAGGGUUGUAAAGCUCUUUCGGCGGGGACGAUGGUGACGGUACCCGCAGAAGAAGCCCCGGCUAACUUCGUGCCAGCAGCCGCGGUAAUACGAAGGGGGCUAGCGUUGUUCGGAAUCACUGGGCGUAAAGGGCGCGUAGGCGGCGCGACAAGUCAGGCGUGAAAGCCCCGGGCUCAACCCGGGAAUUGCGCUUGAUACUGUCGUGCUUGAGGCCGGGAGAGGAUGGCGGAAUUCCCAGUGUAGAGGUGAAAUUCGUAGAAA